rnacentral:rRNA from 1 species
GUGCCAGCAGCCGCGGUAAUACGUAGGGGGCGAGCGUUGUCCGGAUUCAUUGGGCGUAAAGAGCUCGUAGGCGGCUUGGCAAGUCGGAUGUGAAAACUCCAGGCUCAACCUGGAGCCGCCAUUCGAUACUGCUAUGGCUAGAGUCCGGUAGGGGAGUGUGGAAUUCCCGGUGUAGCGGUGAAAUGCGCAGAUAUCGGGAGGAACACCGAUGGCGAAGGCAGCACUCUGGGCCGGCACUGACGCUGAGGAGCGAAAGCGUGGGGAGCGAACAGGAUUAGAUACCCUGGUAGUCC